rnacentral:tRNA from 1 species
UCCCUGGUGGCUCAGACGGUUAAAGCAUCUGCUUGCAAUGCAGGAGACCCGGGUUCGAUCCCUGGGUCGGGAA